GACGAACUGCCCAAACGUUGUUCGGAAUCACUGGGCUUAAAGGGCGCGUAGGCGGCCGUUCAAGUCGGGGGUGAAAGCCUGUGGCUCAACCACAGAAUUGCCUUCGAUACUGGACGGCUCGAGACCGGAAGAGGUCAGUGGAACUGCGAGUGUAGAGGUGAAAUUCGUAGAUAUUCGCAAGAACACCAGUGGCGAAGGCGGCUGACUGGUCCGGUUCUGACGCUGAGGCGCGAAAGCGUGGGGAGCAAACAGG
rnacentral:rRNA from 1 species